ACGGGAGGCAGCAGUGGGGAAUAUUGCGCAAUGGGGGAAACCCUGACGCAGCAACGCCGCGUGCAGGAAGAAGGUCUUCGGAUUGUAAACUGUUGUCGCAAGGGAAGAAGAAAGUGACGGUACCUUGUGAGAAAGUCACGGCUAACUACGUGCCAGCAGCCGCGGUAAUACGUAGGUGACAAGCGUUGUCCGGAUUUACUGGGUGUAAAGGGCGCGUAGGCGGAUAUGCAAGUCAGUCGUGAAAUACCGGGGCUCAACCCCGGAGCUGCGAUUGAAACUGUAUACCUUGAGUAUCGGAGAGGAAAGCGGAAUUCCUAGUGUAGCGGUGAAAUGCGUAGAUAUUAGGAGGAACACCAGUGGCGAAGGCGGCUUUCUGGACGACAACUGACGCUGAGGCGCGAAAGUGUGGGGAGCAAACAGGAUUAGAUACCCUGGUA
rnacentral:rRNA from 2 species